rnacentral:rRNA from 1 species
UACGGGAGGUGCGAGCGUUGUCCGGAAUCACUGGGCGUAAAGGGCGCGUAGGCGGCCCUGUAAGUCCGCUGUGAAAGUCAAGGGCUCAACCCUUGAAUGCCGGUGGAUACUGCAGGGCUAGAGUCCGGAAGAGGCGAGUGGAAUUCCUGGUGUAGCAGUGAAAUGCGUAGAGAUGUGGAGGAACACCGAUGGCGAAGGCAGCCCCCUGGGCCAACACUGACGCUCAGGCACGAAAGCGUGGGGAGCAAACAGG